UGCGAGUGGCGAACGGGUGAGUAACACGUGGGCAAUCUGCCCAAAAGUGGGGGAUAACACUUGGAAACAGGUGCUAAUACCGCAUCAACCGGCUGACCGCAUGGUCGGCCGGGCAAAGACGGCGUCAGCUGUCGCUUUUGGAUGAGCCCGCGGCGUAUUAACUAGUUGGUAAGGUAACGGCUUACCAAGGUGAUGAUACGUAGCCGAACUGAGAGGUUGAUCGGCCACAUUGGGACUGAGACACGGCCCAAACUCCUACGGGAGGCAGCAGUAGGGAAUCUUCCACAAUGGACGCAAGUCUGAUGGAGCAACGCCGCGUGUAUGAAGAAGGUCUUCGGAUCGUAAAAUACUGUUGUCAGAGAAGAACACGUGAUAGAGUAACUGCUAUGGCGCUGACGGUAUCUGACCAGCAAGUCACGGCUAACUACGUGCCAGCAGCCGCGGUAAUACGUAGGUGGCAAGCGUUGUCCGGAUUUAUUGGGCGUAAAGGGAACGCAGGC
rnacentral:rRNA from 2 species